ensembl:snRNA U6 U6 spliceosomal RNA
UUGCUCAUUUUGGCAGAACAUAGGCUAAAAUUGGAAUGAUAGAGAAGAUUAGCAUGGCCCCUACACAAGGAUGACAUGCAAAUUCGUGAAGCAUUCUGUAUUUUU